rnacentral:lncRNA from 1 species
ACCGCCACUGUUUUGAGAACUCCGGAUACUACUUUGACUCUAUUAAGUCUUUUAAAAAUCUGCUACUGAUCUCAAUUUAAACUGCUCACAUUUAAGUGCUCUGUAACUAGCGGUCUGGGGCUUCUAUACUGGACGUUACAGGUUAGUGUACCUCAGGCAGAAGAAUGUAUGUCAGGCGAGCUUCGAGAACACUUAUCGAGCCUGAAGAUCCACACGACAAAGGUGCUGUUAGCAACAUCGUCUCUUUAUUAAACCAUGACUAUGCUCCA